GAAACCGAGUCUUAAUUGGGCGUUAAGUUGCAGGGUAUAGACCCGAAACCCGGUGAUCUAGCCAUGGGCAGGUUGAAGGUUGGGUAACACUAACUGGAGGACCGAACCGACUAAUGUUGAAAAAUUAGCGGAUGACCUGUGGCUGGGGGUGAAAGGCCAAUCAAACCGGGAGAUAGCUGGUUCUCCCCGAAAGCUAUUUAGGUAGCGCCUCGUGAAUUCAUCUCCGGGGGUAGAGCACUGUUUCGGCUAGGGGGCCAUCCCGGCUUACCAACCCGAUGCAAACUGCGAAUACCGGAGAAUGUUAUCACGGGAGACACACGGCGGGUGCUAACGUCCGUCGUGAAGAGGGAAACAACCCAGACCGCCAGCUAAGGUCCCAAAGUCAUGGUUAAGUGGGAAACGAUGUGGGAAGGCCCAGACAGCCAGGAUGUUGGCUUAGAAGCAGCCAUCAUUUAAAGAAAGCGUAAUAGCUCACUGGUCGAGUCGGCCUGCGCGGAAGAUGUAACGGGGCUAAACCAUGCACCGAAGCUGCGGCAGCGAACGUAUCACCCAAGACAACUUUACGGAGUUGACGAUUGACGGAGCGAAGCGACGUCAAAGCGUUCAUUAAAGUCGAGUUGGCUUAGGGAUACGUUCGUUGGGUAGGGGAGCGUUCUGUAAGCCUGUGAAGGUGUGUCGUGAGGCAUGCUGGAGGUAUCAGAAGUGCGAAUGCUGACAUAAGUAACGAUAAAGCGGGUGAAAAGCCCGCUCGCCGGAAGACCAAGGGUUCCUGUCCAACGUUAAUCGGGGCAGGGUGAGUCGACCCCUAAGGCGAGGCCGAAAGGCGUAGUCGAUGGGAAACGGGUUAAUAUUCCCGUACUUGGUGUUACUGCGAAGGGGGGACGGAGAAGGCUAUGUUGGCCGGGCGACGGUUGUCCCGGUUUAAGCGUGUAGGUGUGUGUUCCAGGUAAAUCCGGUUCACUUUAACACUGAGGCGUGACGACGAGGCACUACGGUGCUGAAGCAACAAAUGCCCUGCUUCCAGGAAAAGCCUCUAAGCAUCAGGUAACAUCAAAUCGUACCCCAAACCGACACAGGUGGUCAGGUAGAGAAUACCAAGGCGCUUGAGAGAACUCGGGUGAAGGAACUAGGCAAAAUGGUGCCGUAACUUCGGGAGAAGGCACGCUGACACGUAGGUGAAGUGAUUUACUCAUGGAGCUGAAGUCAGUCGAAGAUACCAGCUGGCUGCAACUGUUUAUUAAAAACACAGCACUGUGCAAACACGAAAGUGGACGUAUACGGUGUGACGCCUGCCCGGUGCCGGAA
rnacentral:rRNA from 1 species